rnacentral:rRNA from 1 species
UACGUAGGGUGCGAGCGUUGUCCGGAAUUAUUGGGCGUAAAGGGCUCGUAGGCGGUUUGUCACGUCAGGAGUGAAAACUCGGGGCUCAACCCCGAGCCUGCUUCUGAUACGGGCAGACUGGAGGUAUGCAGGGGAGAACGGAAUUCCUGGUGUAGCGGUGAAAUGCGCAGAUAUCAGGAGGAACACCGGUGGCGAAGGCGGGUCUCUGGGCAGUAACUGACGCUGAGGAGCGAAAGCGUGGGGAGCGAACAGG